UACGUAGGGGGGCGAGCGUUGUCCGGAAUCAUUGGGCGUAAAGCGCGUGUAGGCGGCCCGGUAAGUCCGCUGUGAAAGUCCAGGGCUCAACCCUGGGAUGCCGGUGGAUACUGUCGGGCUCGAGUCCGGAAGAGGCGAGUGGAAUUCCUGGUGUAGCGGUGAAAUGCGCAGAUAUCAGGAGGAACACCAAUGGCGAAGGCAGCUCGCUGGGACGUGACUGACGCUGAGACGCGAAAGCGUGGGGAGCAAACAGG
rnacentral:rRNA from 1 species